AUUUUUUUAGUAUAAUAAGUAUAACUAACUUCCAAUUAGUAGGUUUGUAUUAGAACAAAAAAAAUA
rnacentral:tRNA from 1 species